rnacentral:rRNA from 1 species
AGAGUUUGAUCCUGGCUCAGAUUGAACGCUGGCGGCAUGCUUUACACAUGCAAGUCGAACGGCAGCACGAAAGAGCUUGCUCUUUUGGUGGCGAGUGGCGAACGGGUGAGUAAUGCAUCGGAACGUACCGAGUAAUGGGGGAUAACUGUCCGAAAGGACAGCUAAUACCGCAUACGCCCUGAGGGGGAAAGCGGGGGAUCUUAGGACCUCGCGUUAUUCGAGCGGCCGAUGUCUGAUUAGCUAGUUGGUGGGGUAAAGGCCUACCAAGGCGACGAUCAGUAGCGGGUCUGAGAGGACGAUCCGCCACACUGGGACUGAGACACGGCCCAGACUCCUACGGGAGGCAGCAGUGGGGAAUUUUGGACAAUGGGGGCAACCCUGAUCCAGCCAUGCCGCGUGUCUGAAGAAGGCCUUCGGGUUGUAAAGGACUUUUGUCCGGGAAGAAAAGCGCGAUGUUAAUACCAUUGCGUGCUGACGGUACCGGAAGAAUAAGCACCGGCUAACUACGUGCCAGCAGCCGCGGUAAUACGUAGGGUGCGAGCGUUAAUCGGAAUUACUGGGCGUAAAGCGGGCGCAGACGGUUACUUAAGCAGGAUGUGAAAUCCCCGGGCUCAACCUGGGAAUUGCGUUCUGAACUGGGUGGCUAGAGUGUGUCAGAGGGGGGUAGAAUUCCACGUGUAGCAGUGAAAUGCGUAGAGAUGUGGAGGAAUACCGAUGGCGAAGGCAGCCCCCUGGGAUGGCACUGACGUUCAUGCCCGAAAGCGUGGGUAGCAAACAGGAUUAGAUACCCUGGUAGUCCACGCCCUAAACGAUGUCGAUUAGCUGUUGGGCAACUUGAUUGCUUGGUAGCGAAGCUAACGCGUGAAAUCGACCGCCUGGGGAGUACGGUCGCAAGAUUAAAACUCAAAGGAAUUGACGGGGACCCGCACAAGCGGUGGAUGAUGUGGAUUAGUCCUCAUGGCCCUUAUGACCAGGGCUUCACACGUCAUACAAUGGUCGGUACAGAGGGUAGCCAAGCCGCGAGGUGGAGCCAAUCUCACAAAACCGAUCGUAGUCCGGAUUGCACUCUGCAACUCGAGUGCAUGAAGUCGGAAUCGCUAGUAAUCGCAGGUCAGCAUACUGCGGUGAAUACGUUCCCGGGUCUUGUACACACCGCCCGUCACACCAUGG